AAUGAACGCUGGCGGCAUGCCUAAUACAUGCAAGUCGAACGGACGCACGAGAAGCUUUCUUUCCUGCUGUUAGCGGCGGGCGGGUGAGUGACACGUGGAUAACCUUCCUAUAUGACGGGGGUAACUUCGUGGAACCGUUUCUAAUACCGGCGAAUAUUUUCAACCGCAUAGUUCAGGAGUUAUAGGCGGCUUUCCUGCCUCUUAUAGCUGGUUCCGCGUUGGAUUAGCUAGUGGGUAAGGUAACGGCUUACCAAGGCGACGAUGCAUAGCCGAUCUGAGAGGAUGAUCAGCCACACUGGAACUGAGACACGGUCCAGACUCCUACGGGAGGCAGCAGUGGGGAAUAUUGCACAAUGGGCGCAAGCCUGACGCAGCCACGCCGCGUGAGUGAUGAAGGUCUUCGGAUUGUAAAGCUCUGUUAUUAGGGAAGAAAAGAUGUAUGUGAAUACGUGCCCAUCUUGACGGUACCCAAUGAGAAAGCACCGGCUAACUACGUG
rnacentral:rRNA from 1 species